rnacentral:misc_RNA from 1 species
CAACCCUCAGGACCCCUUCGGGGCGUCACUGGUGUUGGGGAUCGAGGGCCGUCCAGGCUCCCGCCCCCUAAAUUCAUUGGCGGCUUCCGGAGUUGUCUCCCCUGCGUAGUACUGCAUCUCGCUUUGGUGACUCCCCCGGGCCGCUGCGGCCCCGCGCCGCGAACCCCCCAA